UGGGGAAUUUUUCGCAAUGGGGGCAACCCUGACGAAGCAACGCCGCGUGGGUGAUGAAGUAUCUUGGUACGUAAAGCCCUUUCGACGGGAAAGAAAGCCGCAAGGUUUGACGGUACCCGUGGAAGAAGCCCCGGCUAACUCCGUGCCAGCAGCCGCGGUAAUACGGGGGGGGCAAGCGUUGUUCGGAAUUACUGGGCGUAAAGGGCGCGUAGGCGGUUUGCUAAGUUGGGUGUGAAAACUCUGGGCUUAACCCAGAGCCUGCACUCAAAACUGACAGGCUAGAGUUCUGGAGGGGAUAGCGGAAUUCCUGGUGUAGCGGUGAAAUGCGUAGAUAUCAGGAGGAACACCGGUGGCGAAGGCGGCUAUCUGGACAAAAACUGACGCUGAGGCGCGAAAGCUAGGGGAGCAAACAGGAUUAGAUACCCCCGUAGUCC
rnacentral:rRNA from 1 species